GUUAAAGUUUUUGGUCAAGGUAGUUUUCAAUGAAGUUAAAGUCCAAUCAACUUGAAACUUAGUACACAUGUUCCCUUUUGGUUGAUCUUUUUACUUUUAAGGCCAAAUUAGAUUUUUUACCCAAUUUCACGGUCCAUUGAACAUGGAAAAUGAUAAUGCGAGUGGGGCAUCCGUGUACUUUGGACACAUUCUUGUUUUCUCAUAUGUGUGU
rnacentral:lncRNA from 1 species